UGCAGGAUUAUGUUCGUAAUCAGGGAUAUAUGUCUAUGCUCUCUUAGGAAUGUAUUUCUUUGCUUUCAUGAACGGGUCAGAUACACGGAGAGCUCCCGAAUUAGUCUCUUCUAUAGCAAUGUCAAUUUGUCUUGGGUAAAUGAGAGCCAAUGGGUUUCUGUGACACCAAUUUUGGUAAGCCUACAAAAUGGUUAGAAUGAGUUAUGCAACUGAUAAAUCAAAAUUCGCAAGCACUCCUAUAUAUAUAUAUAGGUACAAAAAGGAAGAUCCAUGGUUUCACCUGACACAAUAUUAGUUUCAUGUUGAUCAGAGUUGUAGAGAAAUAAGUUACAGUCCGUUUAUUCCUUUUGUACCAUGAAUUGAUAUGGAUAUUGUGAUUUAUAAUUUUAUGGCCUUUUUUCUGCUAUAAUAUUUGUUACUACAUUUUGACCCGUACAUCAUAAUUGCAACUUUUAAGUUGGCUUAGCUACUUCCUCCAAUGUUACAGCUUCUACUCUUCCAAGUAGAAACAAUGACAGAAACAGUGGAAUUAAUUUAAAUCUAGGGAUGACGGAAAUAUAUAUUCCUCAUCUCGCCAACCCCCGAAAUGUCAGGCCUCAACUUUAGAUAAUGAUUCUGAGUAGAUUGGAUGCAAGGCUAUACUUCUAGAUUUUUAUGUGGACCAUGAUUGUAUUUAGAGUUUGAGGCACUAAUUUAGAUGUUUACACCAUCAUAUUUGAUGGAGAAUAAAAAAAUUCGAAGUGGUGAUAAAUAAACAGAGCCAUUUGGUUUUACUUGCAACUGUCGGUUCAUCUGCACUCCGCAAAGCAUGAGAAGGUGGUGAGUGUUUUAGUUGUUCAGCCAAGAGGAGUUUGGUGGGUUAAUCAUCUCACCCCAAGAGCAUUAACAUUUUUCACUAUCACCUGGAAUGUUAAGCAUGAACAUUUUCUCACUUUGUUAUAUCAAUCAGUACUUUUGUUGUGGUCGUUCUUGGGAGCAGGCAUGUGCAUUUUACAGUAUUCAUUUAUAAAGGAUGUAGAUGUGUGUGCUUUUGAUCUCCGAAAAUAUCUCCCAGUUCUUGUAGUGCUUUGACAUGAGAACAAGUGCAGAGUUCAGAGAGACCCCCUCUCAAUCAUGCAUGCAAUAAAUCGCUAUUAUUCAUUAAAUGAUGGAUUUCUGCUCCUAAUAAACUGAAAUUGUGCUACUCCUGGUACAAUCAUUUACUGAUAAUCGUGUUUGCAGAAUGAUUACAGUUUGGCCAUGUACUUAUCUAAGCCCAUGGAGUUGCCAGCUUUCAUUUUGUUUUGCAAGUUCCUUCCCCUACGAUGUGGUUGUUUGAGACAAGGUUCGAGAUUUAUGUUUUGCAAGCUAAUUUAUAGGAUUUGGGCAUUGUUGUAACUAUUUUUUUUCAAUCAAAGCAUAACUUAUCCAACAAUUAUUGUGGAGUGUGGUGGUUGUAUGCAGAACCAUGCAUGUUCUGAAAAUAUCCUUCCACAUUAUUAUUAGCCAUGUCUUUUUUUUUGGAUGUCUCGUAUUUUAGUGUGUCUUUGUCUUGAUUUUAACAAAGACGUGUGUUGCACAUUAUUAUUAGGCAUAUAUGUUUUUGAUAGAUCAUUGUUGAUGUAGGACAAUGGGAGCAAUCUCUACAGAUCUUUGUUGAUAUUUCAGAAUGGUGUUUCCCUGAAAGAACAUUUUUGAACAUGCAACUUUAAUUAUGAUGAUGCUGACACUUGUCAGCUAUCGGACCAGUGCAGUUACUUCAGGAAGCAAGUAAAUGCAUUGGAGAAGUUCUUUUUGUUGAGCUUCCUAUGAGGCUUUUUUCAAUGGUUCUAUACUGCUGGAGGUAGCUGUAGAUUUCAGAGCUUCCACUAAAUUAGUCCUUCAAACUUAUAUACUGUACUCCUUAUUACCUAGGGGCAUUUUUAUCUUGGCCUGAACAUCUGAAAGUAAAGUUGGCCGUACUGUACUUAUAUACUCCAUUAUUCUGUAGAAGUGUAGUGUAAUGCAGCUGCAAAUUGCAAGUUUGCAAAUUUCAGGUGGUCGGGUGGUAGCACUUCUUCUGGUGGUAACCGCUACACUUGUUCUUCAAGGAGCUUUGCCAAGACGGCAGGGAGGAUGUCAAGGACGACAGCAAGCUUGGAGUCCAGGUCGCCAAAGAAGGUGGCGAGGUGGGGCCCUGGAGCAGCGCCCACGCACGGCCGACGGAGGUGACGUAUGGCUCGCGGAAGCAGAGGCCCGUGCAUCGGAGAAGCGGCCCUGCGGCGGCGCGCCGUCGAGGAGGAGCGACUCGAGGAGCAGCGUGAGCCGGCAUAGCAGCGGAGCAGGAGCCGCCGUCGAGCUCGUUGACCAGCACAAGCCGACGGAGCAGCGGCGCUGCGGAGCAGAGCAGGAGGCACCGGCGAGCUCGUAGACCAGCAGAAGCCGGCGAAGCAGUGGCGCAACGGAGCAGAGCGUAGCGGAGCUCCCUGGCUGGACGCGGGCUUGGCCGAGCUUCCCUGCUGGAGGCCAGCUUGUUGGAGCAGGUGGAUCGAUCGAUUCGGCAAGGGAGCAGGUGCAGGUGCAUGCUCGCCCAGGAGGCCAGGAAGCGUAUCGAUCGAUCUGGCAGGAAACAUGCUGUAUAGAGUUAGUGGCUCCUGGACAAUAUUUUCCAAGUGGCGAAGUCAUAUUUUCCAAGAGCAAGUGUGUUGUCCGAUCGAAGUGGCGAAGUCAUAUUUUCCUAUAAUCCCGGUCAUUAUUGAAGAGCAUGUUAGUGUGGCAGGUGUAGUUGACUAGCAUGAUCCAACUAUAGAGAUCGCUGAAGGAAACAUAUAGAAGGAGUAUGGUAGCACUUUGAUAGUGUUUUUAAAACUGAAGGUGAAGAGGAGGUGUUGAGCAAUUGAAGAAAUACGUGGAGGAUCUAGAGAUAACCACUUUGAUAGUGGAGAUUUUGUAUAAAUUAACACGAGAGAUAUUUCUGUAAGUA